rnacentral:rRNA from 2 species
GGCUAUCACUUUUGGAUGGUCCCGCGGCGUAUUAGCUAGAUGGUGGGGUAACGGCUCACCAUGGCAAUGAUACGUAGCCGACCUGAGAGGGUAAUCGGCCACAUUGGGACUGAGACACGGCCCAAACUCCUACGGGAGGCAGCAGUAGGGAAUCUUCCACAAUGGACGAAAGUCUGAUGGAGCAACGCCGCGUGAGUGAAGAAGGGUUUCGGCUCGUAAAACUCUGUUGUUAAAGAAGAACAUAUCUGAGAGUAACUGUUCAGGUAUUGACGGUAUUUAACCAGAAAGCCACGGCUAACUACGUGCCAGCAGCCGCGGUAAUACGUAGGUGGCAAGCGUUGUCCGGAUUUAUUGGGCGUAAAGCGAGCGCAGGCGGUUUUUUAAGUCUGAUGUGAAAGCCUUCGGCUCAACCGAAGAAGUGCAUCGGAAACUGGGAAACUUGAGUGCAGAAGAGGACAGUGGAACUCCAUGUGUAGCGGUGAAAUGCGUAGAUAUAUGGAAGAACACCAGUGGCGAAGGCGGCUGUCUGGUCUGUAACUGACGCUGAGGCUCGAAAGUAUGGGUAGCAAACAGGAUUAGAUACCCUGGUAGUCCAUACCGUAAACGAUGAAUGCUAAGUGUUGGAGGGUUUCCGCCCUUCAGUGCUGCAGCUAACGCAUUAAGCAUUCCGCCUGGGGAGUACGGCCGCAAGGCUGAAACUCAAAGGAAUUGACGGGGGCCCGCACAAGCGGUGGAGCAUGUGGUUUAAUUCGAAGCUACGCGAAGAACCUUACCAGGUCUUGACUUACUAUGCAAAUCUAAGAAAUAAGACUUCCCUUCGGGACAUGGAUACAGGGGGGGCAGGGUUGCCGCCACCUGGUGCCGGGAAAAUUUGGGUUAA